rnacentral:rRNA from 1 species
GAUGAACGCUGGCGGUAUGCUUAACACAUGCAAGUCGAACGGACUCUUCGGAGUUAGUGGCGGACGGGUGAGUAACGCGUGAGAAUCUGCCUACAGAUUGGGGACAACAUCGGGAAACUGAUGCUAAUACCGAAUAUGCCGAGAGGUGAAAGAUUUAUCGUCUGUAGAUGAGCUCGCGUCUGAUUAGCUAGUUGGGGCGGUAACGGCGCACCAAGGCGACGAUCAGUAACUGGUCUGAGAGGAUGACCAGUCACACUGGGACUGAGACACGGCCCAGACUCCUACGGGAGGCAGCAGUGGGGAAUUUUCCGCAAUGGGCGAAAGCCUGACGGAGCAAUACCGCGUGCGGGAGGACGCUUUUUGGAGUGUAAACCGCUUUUCUCAAGGAAGAUGAUGACGGUACUUGAGGAAUCAGCAUCGGCUAACUUCGUGCCAGCCGCCGCCGUAACAC